GGGCCGUUAGCUCAGUCGGCAGAGCAGGUGACUCUUAAUCACAAGGUCACUGGUUCGAAUCCAGUACGGCCCACCA
rnacentral:tRNA from 1 species